rnacentral:tRNA from 1 species
GCGGUCGUAGUUCAGUGGUAGAACACCUGGUUGUGGUCCAGGAUGUCGCGGGUUCAAUCCCCGUCGAUCGCCCCA